CUUUCUUAAUGAGGAAGCGCCUCAUUCAGAUGCUGACGCUUCUCGUACUAUGGCAAGUGAUGAGGAAGUCGCACCUCUUCCCUCGACCGCGAUCUCCUCUCCACCCCCCUCUUGAGACCUGUAUUAGAGGUCGCUUCACGGGGAGGGAUCCUGUCUAGCACAGAGGGGAGAAAAUGAGUAGGUUAAAGGAGUGCUGCGGCUUGUUCCUCACAGUGUCUCAACUUUUAAGAGGAACGAACCCUUUAAAAGAAGGGUAGAAGAUUUAAGAAAACAGCCCUAGUACACGGCUGCCUGGAUAUUAAUGGAUCUUUCGUUGAUGGGAUAUUUAAAAGGGUGGACUUCCUGUCUCUGGAUACUUGCAGAUAUAUGUACAGGCAAGAAGCAAGAAGCGAUUGCUGAGACCCUGCCUGAACUUUGUAUUCUGCUUUUAUGGAAGAUGUGAUUCUGCUAUCAGAGAUAAAGAACUAACGUUUGGUCCUUUAGUUUAUAUGUCUUAUUUCUAUAAUAAAACUGAAAAUAAUGA